CAGGUCUGAAAAUCAGCAUUGUGCUGCUGGUCGGGUAUUUUAUUGUGAUUACUGCCACCCCUGAUUAGGCCUCUAGAAGAGGGAGAGCUCUUGCACCCCCUUUCCUAUUUCCCUCUGUUCAAAGACUACACAGUACAUGGGAACAUAUAAUCUUAUUACUUCACAAGUUACACUUGUCAGGCCUCUGAGCCCAAGCUAACCCAUCGUAUCCCCUGUGACCUGCACCUAGACGUCCAGACGGCCUGAAGCAAGUGAAGAAUCACAAAAGAUGUGAAAAGGCUGGUUCCUUGCCUUACGUGAUGACAUUCCACCAUUGUGAUUUGUUCCUGCCCCACCUUAACUGAGCCAUUAACCUUGUGAAAUUCCUUCUCCUGGCUCAGAGCCACUGAGCACCUUGUGACCCCCACUGAGCACCUUGUGACCCCCGCCCCUGCCCGUAAGAGAAAAACCCCCUUUGACUGUAAUUUUCCACUACCCACCCAAAUCCUAUAAAACGGCCCCACCCCAUCUCCCUUCGCUGACUCUCUUUUCGGACUCAGCCCACCUGCACCCAGGUGAAAUAAGCAGCUUUGUUGCUCACACAAAGCCUGUUUGGUGGUCUCUCCACACGGACGCGCAUAACAUUUGGUGCCGAAGACCCGGGACAGGAGGACUGCUUCAGGAGAUCGGUCCCCUGUCAUCGCCCUCACUCCAUGAGGAGAUCCACCUAUGACCUUGGGUCCUCAGAUCAACCAGCCCGAGGAACAUCUCGCCAAUUUCAAAUCAGUGGCUGAAGACUGACACUGCCGGAUUGCCUCAGGAGCCUACAGGACCAUCACAGACACUUUGGGUAACUCUUACAGUGGAGGAAAGAUGCUACAAACCAAGGGCCGAGUGAGAAGAAUGGUUCAUUUCCGAACAAUUCAAUCUGCUCCGAGAAACAAGGAAUUAGCCUGUGGAAGAGUGAGUUAUUUUAAACCACUCUGCAUUAAAACCAAUUAAUGCUCUGGAGGGUCCAGCCUGCCAGAGGAGAAUUUGAGCUAAUUGCUACAGACCAAUCAUAGUCAGUAUAACGCUCCUCCUAUCAGCAAAUAAUAGCACUGGGUAGAGUGGGGUGUGGGGGAUGAACUCAAUCUCCACAGGAAGACAGACCAAAUGUGAUGGCUAUUUUCUCUUCAAGUGCCUCAGAUUUAGAAUUCUUCUGAUCCCAAAGUGUGCUCACCAUACCUCUCAUGAGUCAAACUGCCAUUUUCCCAGCAGUAAUCAUGUGCCCAGCCUUCUCCCAUUCAGCUCUGUUGAGUUAUAAAAGCCAAAGGAAUGGAACAACAACAACAGAAAAGCUAAAUGAUUCAGCCACAAUACAGAGUGAAUCAGCAAAGGAACAAAAAAAUGUAGGGAAAGGGAAUCUGUGUGGUGUCUUGAAUAAAAGUGCCUUCCAAUAAAUUUGGUGAAUUGUCUUCG
rnacentral:lncRNA from 1 species